AUGUUUUUAUUCAUUCUUUCUUCUGUGGAACACAAAAGGAGAUUUUCACUAGACAGUCAAAACAUUAAAAAAAAACAUAUGAAAUCAUAAAGAUGUGCGAGGAACGCAUAUGACCUAUCUGUGGUUAUUUCUUCUUCACUGUAGCCUGUAUACUGCACAUGUGUCAGUGAUGCCUAACGCAUUAGUUCUCAUGUGCAACUCGUCGUCUUCAGCCUGCUUUUGUGUGGAGGAAAAAGUGGAGGAAAUCAAGUCAAAUGCGGUUGAAACCACAAGAAGAAAGCAGCCAUUACUGUAAACGCUAUCAGAAGAGAACCCACUUCACCUCUCCUCGAGCAGAUACGAUGAACCCUGUUCUCUAGGCCUCGGUUAGGAAAGCAGGCUCUGUUUUUAGAGCUGUCAGAGCCACACACCCAGCGUGGGCGACGUUUGCUGUGUGAAGGGAAGCUCAGGCACAAACCCUGUAAUCUGGGGUCAUCACUCCUCCCCAGAGAUCCCAUCUCCUCACGCAACUCAACGAUCAGAUAUUUCCUAAUGCCAG
ensembl:lncRNA